UACGUAGGGUCCGAGCGUUGUCCGGAAUUACUGGGCGUAAAGAGCUCGUAGGUGGUUUGUCGCGUUGUUCGUGAAAACUCACAGCUCAACUGUGGGCGUGCGGGCGAUACGGGCAGACUUGAGUACUGCAGGGGAGACUGGAAUUCCUGGUGUAGCGGUGGAAUGCGCAGAUAUCAGGCGGAACACCGGUGGCGAAGGCGGGUCUCUGGGCAGUAACUGACGCUGAGGAGCGAAAGCGUGGGGAGCGAACAGG
rnacentral:rRNA from 1 species